rnacentral:rRNA from 1 species
AGAGUUUGAUCCUGGCUCAGGAUGAACGCUGGCGGCGUGCUUAACACAUGCAAGUCGAACGAAGCACCUGGAUUUGACUCUUCGGAUGAAGAUCCUUGUGACUGAGUGGCGGACGGGUGAGUAACGCGUGGGUAACCUGCCUCAUACAGGGGGAUAACAGUUAGAAAUGACUGCUAAUACCGCAUAAGACCACAGGGUCGCAUGACCUGGUGGGAAAAACUCCGGUGGUAUGAGAUGGACCCGCGUCUGAUUAGGUAGUUGGUGGGGUAACGGCCUACCAAGCCGACGAUCAGUAGCCGACCUGAGAGGGUGACCGGCCACAUUGGGACUGAGACACGGCCCAAACUCCUACGGGAGGCAGCAGUGGGGAAUAUUGCACAAUGGGGGAAACCCUGAUGCAGCGACGCCGCGUGAGCGAAGAAGUAUUUCGGUAUGUAAAGCUCUAUCAGCAGGGAAGAAAAUGACGGUACCUGACUAAGAAGCACCGGCUAAAUACGUGCCAGCAGCCGCGGUAAUACGUAUGGUGCAAGCGUUAUCCGGAUUUACUGGGUGUAAAGGGAGCGUAGACGGCUGUGUAAGUCUGAAGUGAAAGCCCGGGGCUCAACCCCGGGACUGCUUUGGAAACUAUGCAGCUAGAGUGUCGGAGAGGUAAGUGGAAUCCCCAGUGUAGCGGUGAAAUGCGUAGAUAUUGGGAGGAACACCAGUGGCGAAGGCGGCUUACUGGACGAUGACUGACGUUGAGGCUCGAAAGCGUGGGGAGCAAACAGGAUUAGAUACCGUGGUAGUCCACGCCUAAAACGAUGACUACUAGGUGUCGGGGAGCAAAGCUCUUCGGUGCCGCAGCAAACGCAAUAAGUAGUCCACCUGGGGAGUACGUUCGCAAGAAUGAAACUCAAAGGAAUUGACGGGGACCCGCACAAGCGGUGGAGCAUGUGGUUUAAUUGGAAGCAACGCGAAGAACCUUACCUGCUCUUGACAUCCCGGUGACCGGCAUGUAAUGAUGCCUUUUCUUCGGAACACCGGUGACAGGUGGUGCAUGGUUGCCGUCAGCUCGUGUCGUGAGAUGUUGGGUUAAGUCCCGCAACGAGCGCAACCCUUAUCUUCAGUAGCCAGCAUUUGAGGUGGGCACUCUGGAGAGACUGCCAGGGAUAACCUGGAGGAAGGUGGGGAUGACGUCAAAUCAUCAUGCCCCUUAUGAGCAGGGCUACACACGUGCUACAAUGGCGUAAACAAAGGGAAGCGAACCUGUGAGGGUAAGCAAAUCUCAAAAAUAACGUCUCAGUUCGGAUUGUAGUCUGCAACUCGACUACAUGAAGCUGGAAUCGCUAGUAAUCGCGAAUCAGCAUGUCGCGUGAAUAC